CCUACGGGACGCAGCAGUGGGGAAUAUUGGGCAAUGGAGGAAACUCUGACCCAGCAAUGCCGCGUGAAUGAAGAAGGUCUUCGGAUUGUAAAGUUCUUUAGUUAGGGAAGAAUAAAAUGACGGUACCUAAAGAAUAAGCCCCGGCUAACUACGUGCCAGCAGCCGCGGUAAUACGUAGGUGGCAAGCGUUAUCCGGAUUUAUUGGGCGUAAAGGGAACGCAGGCGGUCUUUUAAGUCUGAUGUGAAAGCCUUCGGCUUAACCGGAGUAGUGCAUUGGAAACUGGGAGACUUGAGU
rnacentral:rRNA from 1 species